rnacentral:rRNA from 1 species
GAUGAACGCUGGCGGCGUGCCUAAUACAUGCAAGUCGAGCGAACAGACGAGGAGCUUGCUCCUCUGACGUUAGCGGCGGACGGGUGAGUAACACGUGGAUAACCUACCUAUAAGACUGGGAUAACUUCGGGAAACCGGAGCUAAUACCGGAUAAUAUAUUGAACCGCAUGGUUCAAUAGUGAAAGACGGUUUUGCUGUCACUUCUAGAUGGAUCCGCGCCGCAUUAGCUAGUUGGUAAGGUAACGGCUUACCAAGGCGACGACGCGUAGCCGACCUGAGAGGGUGAUCGGCCACACUGGAGCUGAGACGCGGUCCAGACUCCUACGGGAGGCAGCAGUAGGGAAUCUUACGCAAUGGGCGAAAGCCUGACGGAGCAACGCCGCGUGAGUGAUGAAGGUCUUCGGAUCGUAAAACCCUGUUAUUAGGGAAGAACAAAUGUGUAAGUAACUAUGCACGUCUUGACGGUACCUAAUCAGAAAGCCACGGCUAACUACGUG